GAUGAACGCUGGCGGCGUGCCUAAUACAUGCAAGUCGAGCGAACGGACGAGAAGCUUGCUUCUCUGAUGUUAGCGGCGGACGGGUGAGUAACACGUGGAUAACCUACCUAUAAGACUGGGAUAACUUCGGGAAACCGGAGCUAAUACCGGAUAAUAUUUUGAACCGCAUGGUUCAAAAGUGAAAGACGGUCUUGCUGUCACUUAUAGAUGGAUCCGCGCUGCAUUAGCUAGUUGGUAAGGUAACGGCUUACCAAGGCAACGAUGCAUAGCCGACCUGAGAGGGUGAUCGGCCACCCGGGAACUGAGACACGGUCCAGACUCCUACGGGAGGCAGCAGUAGGGAAUCUUCCGCAAUGGGCGAAAGCCUGACGGAGCAACGCCGCGUGCGUGAUGAAGGUCUUCGGAUCGUAAAACUCUGUUAUUAGGGAAGAACAUAUGUGUAAGUAACUGUGCACAUCUUGACGGUACCUAAUCAGAAAGCCACGGCUAACUUCGUG
rnacentral:rRNA from 1 species